rnacentral:rRNA from 1 species
GGACAACNUACCNUCAGCACGGGGAUAAACCCGGGNAAACUGGGUAUAAUACCCGAUAGUUCUGGGAUGCUGGAAUGCGUCCAGGACGAAAGCUCCGGCGACUGAGGAUGGGUCUGCGGCCUAUCAGGUAGUAGUGGGUGUAAUGUACCUACUAGCCGACGACGGGUACGGGUUGUGAGAGCAAGAGCCCGGAGAUGGAUUCUGAGACAUGAAUCCAGGCCCUACGGGGCGCAGCAGGCGCGAAAACUUUACAAUGCGGGAAACCGUGAUAAGGGGACACCGAGUGCCAGCGUCAUACGCUGGCUGUCCAGAUGUGUAAAAUACAUCUGUUAGCAAGGGCCGGGCAAGACCGGUGCCAGCCGCCGCGGUAACACCGGCGGCCCGAGUGGUGAUCGUGAUUAUUGGGUCUAAAGGGUCCGUAGCCGGUUUGGUCAGUCCUCCGGGAAAUCUGAUAGCUUAACUGUUAGGCUUUCGGGGGAUACUGCCAGACUUGGAACCGGGAGAGGUAAGAGGUACUACAGGGGUAGGAGUGAAAUCUUGUAAUCCCUGUGGGACCACCUGUGGCGAAGGCGUCUUACCAGAACGGGUUCGACGGUGAGGGACGAAAGCUGGGGGCACGAACCGGAUUAGAUACCCGGGUAGUCCCAGCCGUAAACGAUGCUCGCUAGGUGUCAGGCAUGGCGCGACCGUGUCUGGUGCCGCAGGGAAGCCGUGAAGCGAGCCACCUGGGAAGUACGGCCGCAAGGCUGAAACUUAA